CCAUCCAUCCAACCAGUUCGAACCAGUUCAGUUUCAACGGUUGAAACUUCAAACUUUCCGGACGCGCAACGGGUAGCAGUUGGGGUCUUCGCGGCUGUAUUCCACUGGUUGUUAUACGAAAACCUUUCGAAGUUCUAAUCUCCCGCGCGUUUUGUCUUGCAAUUUUUGAGCAUAGCGAGAACGUACGCCGUGCUGUCCAGUGAUAAAAGCUGUUGAGCACAGCAGAGCUCCCAGAGUACUGUGGUGGACAACGUUUCUUUGUUCUCUGGCUUUCAAGUUUAAGGGGUGCUUGGACUAUCUUGCAUCGGUGGAUAUGAAAAUAGUGGUAACCUACCCUACGAAACAGCUGUUUGCACAUAAGCUUAACAGUUCCCUGUGAGAUGCUGUGAAAGUCAGCAGGGAAGUGCGAUGUAGAAGAAACGACUGCCAGAAGCUUGCUAAGGAACAGCACAACCUGUGUGGGCAGCAGACAAAAUAUUCAUCAAACGGUACAAAACUAGUAUUUUUGUGCUUUGUCGUUUUGAGACAUCCUUGGUAUUGUAUGGAGAACAGCGUGACUAUGUCAUUCCGUCUUACUUCACCCAAACAGCUAUCUGGUAGUAGUGCAAGAUUUGAGUUCCUAAAAGGUUUAUUCACUGAAGUCACCUCAGCGCCAUACUAUAGGUCCCGCAAUGUUUAGUCCUUGCAUUUGUUUGCUGCAUUAUGCUUUUUAGGUGACUAUUAACACCAAAAAUAUGGAAAUUGCUCAGACAUUCUACAAAUCACAGAGCAACAAGUUUUAAACACCAGAUAUACGGUGAGUAUAAUAU